rnacentral:rRNA from 1 species
UACGUAGGGUGCAAGCGUUAAUCGGAAUUACUGGGCGUAAAGCGUGCGCAGGCGGUUUUGUAAGUCUGUCGUGAAAGCCCCCGGGCUCAACCUGGGAAUUGCGAUGGAGACUGCAAGGCUUGAAUCUGGCAGAGGGGGGGUAGAAUUCCACGUGUAGCAGUGAAAUGCGUAGAGAUGUGGAGGAACACCGAUGGCGAAGGCAGCCCCUGGGUCAAGAUUGACGCUCAUGCACGAAAGCGUGGGGAGCAAACAGG